UACGGAGGGUGCAAGCGUUAUCCGGAUUCACUGGGUUUAAAGGGUGCGUAGGUGGGCAAGUAAGUCAGUGGUGAAAUCUCCGGGCUUAACCCGGAAACUGCCAUUGAUACUAUUUGUCUUGAAUACUGUGGAGGUCAGCGGAUAUGUCAUGUAGCGGUGAAAUGCUUAGAUAUGACAUAGAACACCAAUUGCGAAGGCAGCUGGCUACACAAAUAUUGACACUGAGGCACGAAAGCGUGGGGAUCAAACAGG
rnacentral:rRNA from 1 species